rnacentral:rRNA from 1 species
GAUGAACGCUGGCGGCGUGCCUAAUACAUGCAAGUCGAGCGAACGGACGAGAAGCUUGCUUCUCUGAUGUUAGCGGCGGACGGGUGAGUAACACGUGGAUAACCUACCUAUAAGACUGGGAUAACUUCGGGAAACCGGAGCUAAUACCGGAUAAUAUUUUGAACCGCAUGGUUCAAAAGUGAAAGACGGUCUUGCUGUCACUUAUAGAUGGAUCCGCGCUGCAUUAGCUAGUUGGUAAGGUAACGGCUUACCAAGGCAACGAUGCAUAGCCGACCUGAGAGGGUGAUCGGCCACACUGGAACUGAGACACGGUCCAGACUCCUACGGGAGGCAGCAGUAGGGAAUCUUCCGCAAUGGGCGAAAGCCUGACGGAGCAACGCCGCGUGAGUGAUGAAGGUCUUCGGAUCGUAAAACUCUGUUAUUAGGGAAGAACAUAUGUGUAAGUAACUGUGCACAUCUUGACGGUACCUAAUCAGAAAGCCACGGCCAACUACGUG